rnacentral:rRNA from 1 species
AACGAACGCUGGCGGCAUGCCUAACACAUGCAAGUCGAACGAGACCUUCGGGUCUAGUGGCGCACGGGUGCGUAACGCGUGGGGACCUGCCCUUAGGUUCGGAAUAACUCCCCGAAAGGGGUGCUAAUACCGGAUAAUGUCUUCGGACCAAAGAUUUAUCGCCUUUGGAUGGGCCCGCGUUGGAUUAGCUAGUUGGUAGGGUAAAAGCCUACCAAGGCGUCGAUCCAUAGCUGGUCUGAGAGGAUGAUCAGCCACACUGGGACUGAGACACGGCCCAGACUCCUACGGGAGGCAGCAGUGGGGAAUAUUGGACAAUGGGCGAAAGCCUGAUCCAGCAAUGCCGCGUGAGUGAUGAAGGCCUUAGGGUUGUAAAGCUCUUUUACCCGGGAUGAUAAUGACAGUACCGGGAGAAUAAGCUCCGGCUAACUCCGUG